CCCGAAUUCGGGCACGGAACACAUCCAUCCCUCGCUCUCUCUCGCGCGCGCGCUCGUGCUCCUUCGUGCUGCUCGCCCCGCCCCCGCCGCCCUGCCCUCCCCACCGUCGUCACCGGCGUGGGGGGAACGACAUGACUACUUCCAGGCGCCUUGCGGACAGGAAGACAGCCAAGUUCCAGAAGAACAUCACGAGGCGGGGUUCCGUGCCGGAAACCGCCGUCAAGAAGGGGAAGGGGAACGGCUACGCUGCCGGCCCCGUAGUGCUCGGCUUCUUCGUCUUCGUCGUCAUUGGGUCAUCGUUGUUCCAGAUCAUCAGGACCGCGACCAGUGGCGGCAUGGCUUGAGAACCCGUCCCCGGUGCAGAGCAGAGAGAUCUGUUUGUCGUUUGUACAUGCAUGCGUCCAGCUAGAAUCGAGUUUAAUUUCGAACUGAACCGUAAUGCAGAACCAUGUAUGUAAAUAAAGUGCUAUUAAAUGGGUAACUGGAUAUAGUGCUAUAUAUAUACAGUGUUGGAAUACAAAUACCUUUUUUUCCCCUUACGCGCGGCCUGUACGUGUGCCAGUUUUGCUCGACUGUGUUUGGCUUGUGAUGACGACGACGGCUGAAGUUUCAUAUGGGAUUUGAGUCG
rnacentral:lncRNA from 1 species